rnacentral:rRNA from 1 species
CCUACGUGAGGCAGCAGUGGGGGAUCUUGCACAAUGGGGGAAACCCUGAUGCAGCGACGCCGCGUGGGCGAAGAAGUAUUUCGGUAUGUAAAGCCAUAUCAGCAGGGAAGCAGAAAUGACGGUACCUGAGUAAGAAGCACCGGCUAAAUACGUGCCAGCAGCCGCGGUAAUACGUAUGGUGCAAGCGUUAUCCGGAUUUACGGGGUGGAAAGGGAGCGUAGGCGGCACGGCAAGCCGGAUGUGAAAGCCCAGGGCUCAACUCCGGGACUGCUUUUGAAACUGUUGAACUAGAUUGCAGGAGAGGUAAGUGGAAUUCCUAGUGUAGCGGUGAAAUGCGUAGAUAUUAGGAGGAACACCAGUGGCGAAGGCGGCUUACUGGACUGUAAAUGACGCUGAGGCUCGAAAGCGUGGGGAGCAAACAGGAUUAGAUACCCGUGUAGUC